GACGAACGCUGGCGGCGUGCUUAACACAUGCAAGUCGAACGGAAAGGCCCUGCUUGCAGGGUACUCGAGUGGCGAACGGGUGAGUAACACGUGGGUGAUCUGCCCUGCACUUCGGGAUAAGCCUGGGAAACUGGGUCUAAUACCGGAUAGGAGCCAUUUUUAGUGUGAUGGUUGGAAAGUUUUUUCGGUGUAGGAUGAGCUCGCGGCCUAUCAGCUUGUUGGUGGGGUAAUGGCCUACCAAGGCGGCGACGGGUAGCCGGCCUGAGAGGGUGGACGGCCACAUUGGGACUGAGAUACGGCCCAGACUCCUACGGGAGGCAGCAGUGGGGAAUAUUGCACAAUGGGCGCAAGCCUGAUGCAGCGACGCUGCGUGGGGGAUGACGGCCUUCGGGUUGUAAACUCCUUUCGCUAGGGACGAAGCUUUUUGUGACGGUACCUAGAUAAGAAGCACCGGCUAACUACGUG
rnacentral:rRNA from 1 species